UGCCAGCAGCCGCGGUAAGACGGAGGGUGCAAACGUUGUUCGGAAUUACUGGGCAUAAAGAGCACGUAGGUGGUCAGGUCAGUCCGUUGUGAAAGCCCCCGGCUCAACCGGGGAAUUGCAUCGGAUACUGCCUGACUCGAGGACGGCAGGGGUGAGUGGAACUCCAGGUGGAGCGGUGAAAUGCGUAGAUAUCUGGAGGAACACCGGUGGCGAAAGCGGCUCACUGGGCCGUCCCUGACACUGAGGUGCGAAAGCCAGGGGAGCAAACGGGAUUAGAUA
rnacentral:rRNA from 1 species